rnacentral:rRNA from 1 species
AGUGAACGCUGGCGGUAGGCCUAACACAUGCAAGUCGAACGGCAGCACAGGAGAGCUUGCUCUCUGGGUGGCGAGUGGCGGACGGGUGAGGAAUACAUCGGAAUCUACUCUGUCGUGGGGGAUAACGUAGGGAAACUUACGCUAAUACCGCAUACGACCUACGGGUGAAAGCAGGGGAUCUUCGGACCUUGCGCGAUUGAAUGAGCCGAUGUCGGGUUAGCUAGUUGGCGGGGUAAAGGCCCACCAAGGCGACGAUCCGUAGCUGGUCUGAGAGGAUAAUCAGCCAGACUGGAACUGAGACACGGGCCAGACUCCUAGGGGAGGCAGCAGGGGGGAAGAUUGGAGAAGGGGCGCAAGCCUGAUCCAGCCAUACCGCGUGGGUGAAGAAGGCCUUCGGGUUGUAAAGCCCUUUUGUUGGGAAAGAAAUCCAGCUGGCUAAUACCCGGUUGGGAUGACGGUACCCAAAGAAUAAGCACCGGCUAACUUCGUGCCAGCAGCCGCCGUAA